rnacentral:tRNA from 1 species
UCCCAGGUGGUCUAGUGGUAAGGAUUUGGCACUUUCACUGCUGUGGCCUGGGUUCAAUCCUUGGUCUGGCAA